rnacentral:rRNA from 1 species
UUGGGCGUAAGAGCUCGUAGGCGGUUUGUCGCGUCUGUCGUGAAAGUCCGGGGCUUAACCCCGGAUCUGCGGUGGGUACGGGCAGACUAGAGUGCAGUAGGGGAGACUGGAAUUCCUGGUGUAGCGGUGGAAUGCGCAGAUAUCAGGAGGAACACCGAUGGCGAAGGCAGGUCUCUGGGCUGUAACUGACGCUGAGGAGCGAAAGCAUGGGGAGCGAACAGGAUUAGAUACCCUGGUAGUCCAUGCCGUAAACGUUGGGCACUAGGUGUGGGGACCAUUCCACGGUUUCCGCGCCGCAGCUAACGCAUUAAGUGCCCCGCCUGGGGAGUACGGCCGCAAGGCUAAAACUCAAAGGAAUUGACGGGGGCCCGCACAAGCGGCGGAGCAUGCGGAUUAAUUCGAUGCAACGCGAAGAACCUUACCAAGGCUUGACAUGUUCUCGAUCGCCGUAGAGAUACGGUUUCCCCUUUGGGGCGGGUUCACAGGUGGUGCAUGGUUGUCGUCAGCUCGUGUCGUGAGAUGUUGGGUUAAGUCCCGCAACGAGCGCAACCCUCGUUCCAUGUUGCCAGCACGUAAUGGUGGGGACUCAUGGGAGACUGCCGGGGUCAACUCGGAGGAAGGUGAGGACGACGUCAAAUCAUCAUGCCCCUUAUGUCUUGGGCUUCACGCAUGCUACAAUGGCCGGUACAAUGGGUUGCGAUACUGUGAGGUGGAGCUAAUCCCAAAAAGCCGGUCUCAGUUCGGAUUGGGGUCUGCAACUCGACCCCAUGAAGUCGGAGUCGCUAGUAAUCGCAGAUCAGCAACGCUGCGGUGAAUACGUUCCCGGGCCUUGUACACACCGCCCGUCAAGUCACGAAAGUUGGUAACACCCGAAGCCGGUGGCCUAACCCUUGUGGGGGGAGCCG